GGCAGAAUCACUGGUGCUCAGAGAGAUGAGCUUAUGGAACAGGUCAAACAGCAGAUUGCUGUCGCCAAUGCUCAGGAGCUGCUAACAGUAAGCGGCCAGACACACGAAAAUGACAGAGAAGUGCUUUGCUAAAUGCAUAGGAAAACCUGGCGCUGCCCUAGAUAGCUCGGAACAGAAAUGCGUGGCCAUGUGCAUGGACCGGUACAUGGACGCCUGGAACACGGUGUCGCGAGCUUACAGCAGCC